rnacentral:misc_RNA from 1 species
UGAUGUAUCUUUUUAACUUAAAUUUUCUUAAUUUAUCGAUACAGAUUCAAGCUCUAAUGUCUGCAUAGAGGAUUCAUUCAUUUCUACUGGAGAUGACCUUGUAGCUGUGAAAAGUGGGUGGGAUGAAUAUGGGAUUGCUUAUGGUCGCCCAAGCUCUGGCAUCACAAUCCGAAGGGUAACAGGAUCAUCUCCUUUUGCUGGAAU